rnacentral:rRNA from 1 species
UGCAGUCGAGGGGUAUAGUUCUUCGGAACUAGAGACCGGCGCACGGGUGCGUAACGCGUAUGCAAUCUACCUUUUACAGAGGGAUAGCCCAGAGAAAUUUGGAUUAAUACCUCAUAGUAUAUAGCCCUGGCAUCAGGAUUAUAUUAAAGUCACAACGGUAAAAGAUGAGCAUGCGUCCCAUUAGCUAGUUGGUAAGGUAACGGCUUACCAAGGCUACGAUGGGUAGGGGUCCUGAGAGGGAGAUCCCCCACACUGGUACUGAGACACGGACCAGACUCCUACGGGAGGCAGCAGUGAGGAAUAUUGGACAAUGGGCGCAAGCCUGAUCCAGCCAUGCCGCGUGCAGGAUGACGGUCCUAUGGAUUGUAAACUGCUUUUAUACGAGAAGAAACACUCCUUCGUGAAGGAGCUUGACGGUAUCGUAAGAAUAAGGAUCGGCUAACUCCGUGCCAGCAGCCGCGGUAAUACGGAGGAUCCAAGCGUUAUCCGGAAUCAUUGGGUUUAAAGGGUCCGUAGGCGGUUUAAUAAGUCAGUGGUGAAAGCCCAUCGCUCAACGGUGGAACGGCCAUUGAUACUGUUAGACUUGAAUUAUUAGGAAGUAACUAGAAUAUGUAGUGUAGCGGUGAAAUGCUUAGAGAUUACAUGGAAUACCAAUUGCGAAGGCAGGUUACUACUAAUUGAUUGACGCUGAUGGACGAAAGCGUGGGUAGCGAACAGGAUUAGAUACCCUGGUAGUCCACGCCGUAAACGAUGGAUACUAGCUGUUGGAAGCAAUUUCAGUGGCUAAGCGAAAGUGAUAAGUAUCCCACCUGGGGAGUACGUUCGCAAGAAUGAAACUCAAAG